rnacentral:lncRNA from 1 species
UAUUAAAAUAGGAUUAUAUUAAAAGGAAAAAAGAAAAACAAGAAAACCUAAACCCUUGAAAGCACAGAAAAGCAGACUAAGGGCCGAGCCUCAUUAAAACCUCAGUAUGAGGAAAAAGAGUACUCGUCUAAGAUAAAAAAGUGUCAGAAGCUGAGUUGGGAGAAUCUCAGAAACUCCGGCCGAACCAUCGUUCCUAGAAAAUCCCGGCUUCUCAACACAAAGAGAAAACAAGAAGAAAAAUAAAAGCAAUAAAAAACCAACAACCAAGAAAGUAACACCGAAAGCUGUCAUAGGAGGGAAACCGGCCGGUAAAACGCCGUCGCCG